AGCGAACGCUGGCGGCGUGCCUAACACAUGCAAGUCGAACGUGAAAGGGAGCAAUCCCAAGUAAAGUGGCGUACGGGUGAGUAACACGUAGGUAAUCUACCCCAGAAUCUGGAAUAACCGGCCGAAAGGCUGGCUAAUGCUGGAUAGAGCGACGGAAUCCGUAAUUGGGUUUUUCGGGAAAGGGAGCCUGUAAAAAGGCCUUCGUUCUGGGAUGAGCCUGCGUCCCAUCAGCUAGUUGGUGAGGUAAAAGCUUACCAAGGCAAUGACGGGUAGCUGGUCUGAGAGGACGAUCAGCCACCCUGGAACUGAAACACGGUCCAGACUAAUACGGGAGGCAGCAGUGGGGAGUCUUGCGCAAGGGAUGAAAGUCUGACGCAGCAACGCCGCGUGAGUGAAGAGGGCCUUCGGGUUGUAAAGCUCUGUCGAGUGGGACGAAAAUGCUUGGAGUUCAAAGCUCCAGGAACUGACGGUACCACUAAAGGAAGCAACGGCUAACUCCGGG
rnacentral:rRNA from 1 species